rnacentral:rRNA from 1 species
CAGCCGCCGCGGUAAUACAGAGGGUGCGAGCGUUAAUCGGAUUUACUGGGCGUAAAGCGUGCGUAGGCGGCUUCUUAAGUCGGAUGUGAAAUCCCUGAGCUUAACUUAGGAAUUGCAUUCGAUACUGGGAAGCUAAAGUAUGGGAGAGGAUGGUAGAAUUCCAGGUGUAGCGGUGAAAUGCGUAGAGAUCUGGAGGAAUACCGAUGGCGAAGGCAGCCAUCUGGCCUAAUACUGACGCUGAGGUACGAAAGCAUGGGGAGCAAACAGGAUUAGAUACCCCGGUAGUCCCUGUCUCUUAUAU